AAACAAUCGCGAAGAGAGGUUGUGCACCCCUGGUAUGCAUAUCGAUAUGCACAGAUAAAAACAUAUGUUUGAAGAACAUAUGAUGAAAAGGCAGAGUGCAAUUUAUUGCAAAAGUUGCAACUGAAAGAGAUGACAAUUUCUCCCAAGUGCAAGUGAACGUGUGUUCGACAGGCCGAAGAAGUGAGUGACGCAAAAUGGCUGCGAGGGAAUCAUCCGGUGGAACGAGAGGUAGCAGCUGAGAAGACUCCACAUCCCAAUCACCGAGCAGUGCCGCCAGUUUAGUUAAGUUGAUUGUGUAGUUUAAGCCAGUGCAUUGUAGUGUUGUUUUGCUGCAUGUGUGUAUGUGCAUACGUGCCAAAUAAAACUUUAAUUGAAUAUAAAAU
rnacentral:sRNA from 1 species